ACACAUGCAAGUCGAACGGCAGCACGGACUUCGGUCUGGUGGCGAGUGGCGAACGGGUGAGUAAUAUAUCGGAACAUACCCAGUAGUGGGGGAUAACUAUCCGAAAGGAUAGCUAAUACCGCAUACGAUCUGUGGAUGAAAGCAGGGGAUCUUCGGACCUUGUGCUAUUGGAAUGGCCGAUAUCUGAUUAGCUAGUUGGUAGGGUAAAAGCCUACCAAGGCGACGAUCAGUAGCUGGUCUGAGAGGACGACCAGCCACACUGGAACUGAGACACGGUCCAGACUCCUACGGGAGGCAGCAGUGGGGAAUUUUGGACAAUGGGGGCAACCCUGAUCCAGCAAUGCCGCGUGAGUGAAGAAGGCCCUCGGGUUGUAAAGCUCUUUUGUCAGGGAAGAAACGGAGUUCUCUAAUAUAGGAUUCUAAUGACGGUACCUGAAGAAUAAGCACCGGCUAACUACGUGCCAGCAGCCGCGGUAAUACGUAGGGUGCAAGCGUUAAUCGGAAUUACUGGGCGUAAAGCGUGCGCAGGCGGUUUUGUAAGUCUGAUGUGAAAUCCCCGGGCUCAACCUGGGAACUGCAUUGGAGACUGCAAGGCUAGAGUGUGUCAGAGGGGGGUAGAUUCCACGUGUAGCAGUGAAAUGCG
rnacentral:rRNA from 1 species